rnacentral:rRNA from 1 species
AUUGAACGCUGGCGGCAUGCCUUACACAUGCAAGUCGAACGGUAACAGGUCUUCGGAUGCUGACGAGUGGCGAACGGGUGAGUAAUACAUCGGAACGUGCCUAGUAGUGGGGGAUAACUACUCGAAAGAGUGGCUAAUACCGCAUGAGAUCUACGGAUGAAAGCAGGGGAUCGCAAGACCUUGUGCUACUAGAGCGGCCGAUGGCAGAUUAGGUAGUUGGUGGGAUAAAAGCUUACCAAGCCGACGAUCUGUAGCUGGUCUGAGAGGACGAUCAGCGACGCUGGGACUGCGACAAGGCCCAGAUUCCUACGGGGGGCAGCAGUGGGGAAUUUUGGACAAUGGGCGAAAGCAUGAUCCAGCAAUGCCGCGUGCAGGAAGAAGGCCUUCGGGUUGUAAACUGCUUUUGUACGGAACGAAAAGCCCCGGGUUAAUACCCUGGGGUCAUGACGGUACCGUAAGAAUAAGCACCGGCUAACUACGUGCCAGCAGCCGCCGUAA